CUGUGUGUGAAUGGUGUUCAGCACCAGGGACAGGUAUGUUUACCUGUGUGUGAAUGGUGUUCACCACCAGGGAGAGAUGUGUUUACCU
rnacentral:pre_miRNA from 1 species